GAUGAACGCUGGCGGCGUGCUUAACACAUGCAAGUCGAACGAUGAAGCCCAGCUUGCUGGGCGGAUUAGUGGCGAACGGGUGAGUAACACGUGAGUAACCUGCCCUUGACUCUGGGAUAAGCCCGGGAAACUGGGUCUAAUACCGGAUAGGAGCGCCUGUCGCAUGACGGGUGCUGGAAAGAUCUUUCGGUCAUGGAUGGACUCGCGGCCUAUCAGCUAGUUGGUGGGGUAACGGCCUACCAAGGCGAUGAUCAGUAGCCGGUCUGAGAGGAUGAACGGCCACAUUGGGACUGAGACACGGCCCAAACUCCUACGGGAGGCAGCAGUGGGGAAUAUUCCGCAAUGGACGAAAGUCUGACGGAGCAACGCCGCGUGAGUGAUGAAGGUUUUCGGACUGUAAAGCUCUGUUGUUUAGGACGAAAGUGCCUGUUGCGAACAGUUACAGGUAUCGACGGUACUGAACGAGGAAGCCACGGCUAACUACGUGCCAGCCGCCGCAGUAAUAC
rnacentral:rRNA from 1 species